rnacentral:rRNA from 1 species
AGGACGAACGCUGGCGGCGUGCUUAACACAUGCAAGUCGAGCGGAAAGGCCCUUCGGGGUACUCGAGCGGCGAACGGGUGAGUAACACGUGGGCAACCUGCCCUUAGCUCUGGGAUAGCUCCGGGAAACCGGAAUUAAUACCGGAUAUGACCUAGGCCGACAUCGGCUGUGGUGGAAAGUUUUUCGGCUAGGGAUGGACUCGCGGCCUAUCAGCUAGUUGGUGGGGUAAUGGCCUACCAAGGCGACGACGGGUAGCCGGCCUGAGAGGGCGACCGGCCACACUGGGACUGAGACACGGCCCAGACUCCUACCGGGAGGCAGCAGUGGGGAAUCUUGCGCAAUGGGCGAAAGCCUGACGCAGCGACGCCGCGUGGGGGAUGAAGGCCUUCGGGUUGUAAACCCCUUUCAGCAGGGACGAAGCGAAAGUGACGGUACCUGCAGAAGAAGCGCCGGCUAACUACGCGCCAGCAGCCGC